rnacentral:lncRNA from 1 species
CAUGCCGGGUGUCUGUCUGUCCAUGCCUCGUGUCCAUCCCUCCAUUCCCCCGUGUCCACCUGUCCAUGCCCCGUGUCCAUCUGUCCGUGUCCACACCAGUGUCUGUGUGUCCAUCCCAGUGUCUGUCUGUCCAUGCCCCGUGUCCGUCUGUCCGUGUCCAUCCCUGUGUCCGUGUGUCCCUGCCGAUGUCCGUGUGUUCAUGCCUGUGCCUGGUGUCCGUCUGUCCAUGCCCCGUGUCCGUGUGUCCAUCCCGGUGUCCGUCUGUCCAUGCCCCGUGUCCGUGUGUCCAUCCCUGUGUCUGUGUGUCCACACCGCUGUCUGUGUGUCCAUCCCGGUGUCCGUGUGUCCGUGUCCGUGUGUCCAUCUCCGUGUCCAUGUAUCCAUGUGUCCAUCCCGCUGUCCAUGUGUCCAUGUCCGUCUGUCCAUGUGUCUGUGUGUCCAUGUGUCUGUGUGUCCAUCCCUCUGUCCAUGUGUCCAUGUGUCCAUCCCACUGUCUGUCUGUGUCCGUGUGUCCAUCCCGCUGUGGGUGUGUCCGUGUAUCCACCCCUCUGUCCGUGUGUCCAUCCCACUGUCCGUGUGUCCAUGUGUCCAUCCCCAUGUCCGUGUGUCCAUGUGGGUGUCUGUAUGUCCACGCCAGUGUCUGUGUGUCCGUGCAUCCAUCCCGCUGUCCAUGUGUCCAUGUCCGUGUGUCCACACCUCUGUCCGUGUGUCCAUCCCAUGUCCGUGUGUCUGUGUGUCCAUGUCCGUGUGUCUGUGUGUCCGUGUGUCCAUCCUGCUGUCUGUGUGUCCCUGUCCGUAUGUCCGUGUGUCCAUGUCCGUGUGUCCAUCCCAUGUCCGUGUGUCCGUGUGUCUGUGUGUCCGUGUGUCCGUGUGUCCAUGUCCGUGUAUCCACCCCACUGUCCGUGUGUCCCUGUUCGUGUGUCCAUCCCGCUGUCCGUGUGUCCAUCCCAUGUCCCUGUGUCCGUGUGUCCAUGUCCGUGUGUCCGUCCCAUGUCCGUGUGUCCGUGUGUCCGUGUGUCCAUGUCCGUGUGUCCCUGUCCGUGUGUCCAUCCCCCGUGUCCGUGUGUCCUGCGGGCAGGUGCUGGCGCAGGCCUGGCCGUUCCUGGGGCAGUUCCUGGAGAAGCUGCUGCAGCAGAGCGUGGCCCCGGCCAUCCGCGCCUCCAGCGCGCACCUGCAGAGCUUCGCCUUCACCCGCGUGCACCUGGGACAGCAGGUGACCGGGGGG